UUAAUGAGGGGAGGAAAAGAAACUAACAAGGAUUUUCUUAGUAGCGGCGAGCGAAAAGAAAAUAGUUCAGCACUAAGUCACUUUGUCUUUAUGGCAAAUGUGAGAUGCAGUGUAUGGAAUGUCAAAUUUCUAGUAUGAGAAAUUAACGAUUUAAGUCCUUCUUAAAUGAGGCCAUUUACCCAAAGAGGGUGCCAGGCCCGUAUAACGUUAAUGAUUACUAGAUGGCAUUUCCAAAGAGUCGUGUUGCUUGAUAGUGCAGCACUAAGUGGGUGGUAAACUCCAUCUAAAACUAAAUAUAACCAUGAGACCGAUAGUAAACAAGUACCGUGAGGGAAAGUUGAAAAGAACUCUGAAUAGAGAGUUAAAUAGUACGUGAAACUGCUUAGAGGUUAAGCCCGAUGAACCUGAAUAUCCGUUAUGGAAAAUUCAUCAUUAUGAUUUUAAUAUUUAUAAUAUUAUAAUAAUGGUGUGCAUUUUUUCUAUAAAGGACAUUGUAAUCUAUUAACUUUACAUUAUUUAUCAUAAGAUCAUUAGAUUAUGUUUAUUCAAAUUAUUUUGCUUGCAAUUUAAUAUCGAAUAAAUUCUUUUGAUUUGAUAAAGCGUUGAUAGAUUUAUUAUAUACAGUGCUUAAAUAUUUAUAUUUUAUAAUAUCAUAUUAAUCAAUGAUUUUUAUGUUCAUUAUAUGCACUUGUAUGAUUAACAAUGCGAAAGAUUCAGGAUACCUUCGGGACCCGUCUUGAAACACGGACCAAGAAGUCUAACACCUUGACCAUAUAUGCUGUGACCCGAAAGAUGGUGAACUAUACUUGAUCAGGUUGAAGUCAGGGGAAACCCUGAUGGAAGACCGAAACAGUUCUGACGUGCAAAUCGAUUGUCAGAAUUGAGUAUAGGGGCGAAAGACCAAUCGAACCAUCUAGUAGCUGGUUCCCUCCGAAGUUUCCCUCAGGAUAGCUGGUGCAUUUAAAAAUUAUGUAAAAUAAUCUUAUCUGGUAAAGCGAAUGAUUAGAGGCCUUAGGGUCGAAACGAUCUUAACCUAUUCUCAAACUUUAAAUGGGUAAGAACCUCACCUUUCUUGGUAUGAAGGUUGUGGUUGUGAUAUAAUGUGCCCAGUGGGCCACUUUUGGUAAGCAGAACUGGCGCUGUGGGAUGAACCAAACGUAAUGUUACGGUGCCCAAAUUAACAACUCAUGCAGAUACCAUGAAAGGCGUUGGUUGCUUAAAACAGCAGGACGGUGGACAUGGAAGUCGUAAUCCGCUAAGGAGUGUGUAACAACUCACCUGCCGAAGCAACUAGCCCUUAAAAUGGAUGGCGCUUAAGUUGUAUACCUAUACAUUACCGCUAAAGUAGAUGGUUUAUAUUCAAUUUCGGUUGGAUUUUAAACUUUGAAACUUUAGUGAGUAGGAGGGUACAAUGGUGAGCAUAGAAGUGUUUGGCGUAAGCCUGCAUGGAGCUGCCAUUGGCACAGAUCUUGGUGGUAGUAGCAAAUAAUCGAAUGAGACCUUGGAGGACUGAAGUGGAGAAGGGUUUCGUGUGAACAGUGGUUGAUCACGAGUUAGUCGGUCCUAAGUUUAAGGCGAAAGCCGAAAAUUUUCAAGUUAUAAUGAAUAAGUAAAAUAUAUACAAGUAUAUAUAAGAAAAAGUAAUAAAACACUUGAAUAAUUUUGAACGAAAGGGAAUACGGUUCCAAUUCCGUAACCUGUUGAGUAUCCGUUUGUUAUUAAAUAUGGGCCUUGUGCUCAUCCUGGCAACAGGAACGACCAUAAAGAAGCCGUCGAGAGAUAUCGGAAGAGUUUUCUUUUCUGUUUUAUAGUCGUACUACCAUGGAAGUCUUUCGAAGAGAGAUAUGGUAGAUGGACUAGAAGAGCAUGACAUUUACUGUUGUGUCGAUAUUUUCUCCUCGGACCUUGAAAAUUUAUGGUGGGGUCACGCAAACUUCUCAACAGGCCGUACCAAUA
rnacentral:rRNA from 1 species